rnacentral:rRNA from 1 species
AUGUUAAUUCUAGGUAGUAAUUUUCAUUAAACCAAUAUAUAAUGGCGGUCUAAAUAUGCUUAGAGAAACUCGCUUCAUAAUCGUCAAUCCCCGAUAAUUUUCACUUAAUAUAAUUAAAACUUAUAUACCGUCGUUACAAUAUAAAUUAAAAAAUUAUACUUUAAUACUAAAUACUAUCAAAAAUCAGAUCAAGGUGUAGUAUAUAGUUAAGAAGAAGUAAGUUACAUUAAAAACAAUUUAAGGAUGCUUCAUAAAAUUUAAAGCUAAAAAAGAAUUUAUCAGUAGAAUAAAAUUAAAAACUUUAACCGAAUAAUUAUAUUAAGAUGU